GCACCAUAAAGAUAAGAAGUGAUAAAAAGGGGCAGGUUUAAGUGAAACUCUAUGAAGACAACAAUCUUUAGAGAUACAACAUCAUCUAGCGAACUACUGUAAACUAAACUGAAAGACAGGAAACCACAAUUCAGUUAAAGAAGAUGAGACUCCGGAUAUAACAAAAUACCAAGUGGUUUUCACAUAAGUCGGCUAAAAGGAUUGCUUAACCCAACUUCCGCACCUGGAAUCUUACGUUCACUGUCUCUUCAAAGGACUUCUUAAGCAACUCUAAGUCAAUUGUCAGUUCUCGAGCCUUUUCCUAUGGCUGGUUGUGAUCCUUGACGACCAUCACAAGCAUCAUGGUACUCGCCUUCCUCCUCGUUUUCUUUUGAGGCAGAUGCCACAGGAACUCCGCCCUUACGAGCAGCAUUUCCACCAUCCUUCUCAUCAGGAUACCUCACAACCACAACAGGGCAAACACAAUGCCUAACACAGUAAUCACUAACACUUCCAAGCCUCCCAUCAUUUCCUCUCUUAGUAGCCCCGAAUCCUCGACUACCCAUGAUAACUGCACUCAAUCCUAGCCUCUCAACCUCAAGACAUAGCCUUUCCUUCAUAUCAUGAUCCUUCACAAUAUGAAUCUUGAAUGGAAUAUUAGCCUCCACAAGUGGCUGAGCUAAAUCAUUCGAUUUCGUAGUUGUGAAGUUAUCAAAAUCAUCUUCCAGUUUCCGCUGUGAUUCUUCAUUUGCAGUGUCAACAGAAACAUCAAUAGCACCCCAAUCAGCUCCAUAAAGUACCGAAGUUGGACGGACGUGAAGGAGUAUAACGGCGUCACCUGGUCGGAGAUAAUUUUGCACAGCCCAUUUGACGGCAUAAGCACUUUCGUCGCUAAGAUCGACGGCGAUAGCAACCUUCCGAUUAGCACCGGAAUUCGGAGUUCCUAAAUGGAAACGAGGAGAUGCCGGUUGGUGCAUGAUCGCCGUGAGUGGGCGGUCGGAUUCUGGUGGUGGCUUUUUGGGUGAUGUCAUGCUGGUGUAAAUAGAUAAAUACGGAAUUGGUAUUGAAGAAUUCAGAGAGAUAUUGUGUGUUUUGUGAUGUUCGAAUCCGAUUCGAUUGUGUAUUGUUUGAGUUCUUGGGACCUUUGGGGAAGAAGAGAGGUUACAAG
rnacentral:misc_RNA from 1 species